GUAGGUAUAGUUUAACAAAAACGUUAGAUUGUGAUUCUGAAAAUGGAAGUUAAAAUCUUCUUGCUCACC
rnacentral:tRNA from 1 species